CGUCCUACGGGGGGCAGCAGUGGGGAAUAUUGGGCAAUGGGCGCAAGCCUGACCCAGCAACGCCGCGUGAAGGAAGAAGGCUUUCGGGUUGUAAACUUCUUUUCUCAGGGACGAAGAAAGUGACGGUACCUGAGGAAUAAGCCACGGCUAACUACGUGCCAGCAGCCGCGGUAAUACGUAGGUGGCAAGCGUUAUCCGGAUUUACUGGGUGUAAAGGGCGUGUAGGCGGGACUGCAAGUCAGAUGUGAAAACCACGGGCUCAACCUGUGGCCUGCGUUUGAAAAUGUAGUUCUU
rnacentral:rRNA from 1 species